UGGGGAAUUUUGGACAAUGGGCGAAAGCCUGAUCCAGCAAUGCCGCGUGUGUGAAGAAGGCCUUCGGGUUGUAAAGCACUUUUGUCCGGAAAGAAAUCCUUGGCUCUAAUACAGUCGGGGGAUGACGGUACCGGAAGAAUAAGCACCGGCUAACUACGUGCCAGCAGCCGCGGUAAUACGUAGGGUGCAAGCGUUAAUCGGAAUUACUGGGCGUAAAGCGUGCGCAGGCGGUUUGCUAAGACCGAUGUGAAAUCCCCGGGCUCAACCUGGGAACUGCAUUGGUGACUGGCAGGCUAGAGUAUGGCAGAGGGGGGUAGAAUUCCACGUGUAGCAGUGAAAUGCGUAGAGAUGUGGAGGAAUACCGAUGGCGAAGGCAGCCCCCUGGGCCAAUACUGACGCUCAUGCACGAAAGCGUGGGGAGCAAACAGGAUUAGAUACCCUGGUAGUCCACGCCCUAAACGAUGUCAACUAGUUGUUGGGGAUUCAUUUCCUUAGUAACGUAGCUAACGCGUGAAGUUGACCGCCUGGGGAGUACGGUCGCAAGAUUAAAACUUAAUGAAUUGACGGGGUCAUAGCUGUUUCCU
rnacentral:rRNA from 1 species